AUUGAGAUAACCAACUAUAAAUGGGUUUGUAGUUUUAAACUUGUUGCUUCAGAUUUAAUUAGAAAAUUUGUGGUUGCCCAAAUCAUGGUCUCAUGUAUUAUCAAGACCCACCGCCGUUAUAGUUCUUGCUCAAGACUCAAACAAUUACUAUUGCUCCUAUUUUUAAAAGAAAACGCAGUUUGGAUAAAAGGGGCGGAAAUAUUACAGCAAUUUGGUGUUAUAGAUGAAAUUAAAAGUAAAAAAUUAAGUGGAUGUUAAUAGUUUCAGAAAGAGAGAAGUUGCAGAACACGAAGAUAAUUGACAUGAAGGUCUUUGAGAGAUGGAAAACGAAAAGUCGUGUGCAGUGGAUACGGAGCGAGAAUGUAUAGCAUGUGGUUCCUAUUGAUUCAAUGAAGCUCAAAAAUAGAGGCAGCAAUUGAUGAGGUUGCAGCCUCAACUGAGCAGUUGAGUACGUGUUAGUGAUUCUCCAGGAUUUCUCAAGACUAUUCAACAAGCUGUAAGAAUGAUCUUUCAAUUUUUAACGAUUGUGAUUGAUAAGAACUUAAUUAAUUGUUGUUGGUACUUUAAAUUGACUAGGAGAAUUCUGCUUAGUGAAAAGGAAGCAUGGAGCGGUUGCUAAGAAGAUUCUUGUCCUGAUUAUGUUUUGUUACUAGAAGAUUUCAUGGUACUUGUUGGAAUUGUUUUGCUGCAGGUACUAGGUACUUUUUGGUUUAUUUGGUCAAAGAGCCUUCUUGUUUGGAGUGUCUCCACCACAUGAUACAAUAAUGGAUAAACUUUCUCCUGGAUGAAAGGAAGCUAGGAGGUGUUGGAGUCUCUUAUAGAGUUACAAAGUGUAUUAGAAUGAAAAAAAAUAAGCUGGAGUCUCUUAUAAAGUUACCUAGUGUAUUAGAAUGAAAAAAACUAAGCUGUAUAUAGAUAUAAUUUAUGUUUGUCUGUAUUGUAUUGACGAUUCCUAUGUUA